rnacentral:tRNA from 1 species
GCCUGGCUGGCUCAGUUGGUUAAGCGUCUGACUUCGGCUCAGGUCAUGAUCUCACGGUUCGUGGGUUUGAGCCCCACAUUCGGGCU